CUUUGUAGUAUUAUACACAUGCCACGUACUCUAAUACUUUGAGGUGGUUUGUGUUAGUCUAUGGACACCAUUAGUUCAUAUAAAUUGUGUGUAUAGUGGGGAAGUUCUAAGGAAUUCCUUAGUGUCCAGAUGGGCUGUCCUCUUGACGGAAGAUUGCAACAACACUUGAGAUCCAUUAGUAAAGUACACAGAGGAAUGGCUUCUCUACCAGCAGUGCACUCACCAUCCAAUAGAGACAGUAUUAACUGUAGACAGAACUGCAAGAAGUCAGAUAAGGUCACCUAUAGCUUCUAAAUACAUAUGUACAUCAAGGAGCAAUGGAAAUAAGGUAUUAAAGCACUCCCUUUCCAUUUUAGGUGGUAAAAAGGUGACAAUAAACAAAGCAUUUAUUUAGAAAGAAGAAGGAGGGAUAGGCAUAAUGUUAGCAGGACGCAAAUUUUGCAAAAUCUACUAAGAUUCCAUUUUGUGGGUUUUAAUGUCACGAAUUCUACCACAUGUGCCAUGCAGAUAGUAAAGUCUCACAAAAAGGGAGAUAGGGAGCAUUGUAGACUUGCGAUGGCUUUGGCUGCUCUUUUAUUCUAGCAUGGGCUUUUGAAACUGUUUGUGUCCUGAAUUUUCAUUCUCACUAUCGAAAUAACAAGAAGCAAGUGAUAGAGGAUAAACUGCUCAAUCAAGUUAACAUUAUCACUGUUCCUAUUGAUUAUUACUCUCUCCCUGCAAAUGAAGCAGACAAUUCUUUUUGAGCCAAUAGAAGAUGAAGAGGGUCCCAUUGCAGAAGAGCAGCAGUUGUCCAUUAAAACUAUCCUUGAUUUAAGGAAAGCAAUAGGAGAGGCUUCUUUUAUUAAAGUUGGUGAUGAUGAAGGACUAACUUGUUAUUGUGCUAGUUGGGGACAUUGAGUGUACGUGUCAUUUAAAUGAAACUACCGCAUAGUGGGUAUAUUCCAUCUGAGUUCAAUUUCGUUCUUUUUGUUCUCAUUUCUUGUGGAAUGAAUUUUUUCCAAAUGAAAAA
rnacentral:lncRNA from 1 species